rnacentral:snRNA from 2 species
AUCCCUUCGGGGACAUUCGAUAAAAUUGGAAUGAUACAGAGAAGAUCAGCAUGGCCCAUGCGCAAGGAUGACACGCACAAAUCGAGAAAUGACCCAAAUUAUU